rnacentral:rRNA from 1 species
UACGAAGGGGGCUAGCGUUGUUCGGAAUUACUGGGCGUAAAGCGCGCGCAGGCGGUCUUCCAAGUCAGUGGUGAAAGCCCGGAGCUCAACUCCGGAACUGCCAUUGAAACUGUUGGACUUGAGUACGAGAGAGGUGAGUGGAAUUCCCAGUGUAGAGGUGAAAUUCGUAGAUAUUGGGAAGAACACCGGUGGCGAAGGCGGCUCACUGGCCCGAUACUGACGCUGAGGUGCGAAAGCGUGGGGAGCAAACAGGG